rnacentral:lncRNA from 1 species
AUGACAUAAAGGGAGUUAAUUCAUUCAGUUGUUCAUUGUCUUUCUCUUGUUAAUCUGUAGAAUUCCAAUCAUGAUGAUGACAUCAACACAGAUGGUCACAUGAGUAACACUUCGACCAAUGGAGAGGAAGAACUCAACAAUUCCAGCAGUGAAGAUGAACUCAGUAAUGAGAACUCUUCCACAAUCAGCCUGUUGGAUAUGGACAUUCAAGAGAAUGAUAAUAAAGAUAACCAAAUUAACACAGAAGAGCACCGGAGUAACACUUCCAACAGUGAAGAUGAAGAUGAUGAACUCAACAACACUGAGAACCCUACCACAAGCCACUCGCAUGUGGACAUUUCAGAGGUAAAUGCAUUCCAUGUGGUAGUUCAUAUAUGUUUUCUUUAUAUAAAUGUCUACUCUUUUAAUUAAUUACUUCAAGUAAUAUUUUUCCCUUGUCAACCUGUAGAAUGAGGAAGCCCUGUCACAUUCUGAAGAGGACUUGAUUGAUGCUGCCAGUAAUGAAGGUGAAAACCAUGCUGACGAUGAAGACGUGAUGGAGGGGAAUAGUACUUGAGAAA